GUAAUACUCCAUAGUUCGUUAUUACUGGAAUGUUUUUCGAACAAAAGAUCCGUCGCUUCAGGAUGAGUCUGCGGCCGAUUAGGUAGUUGUUGGGGUAAUUGCCCAACAAGCCUGUAAUCGGUACGGGUUGUGGGAGCAAGAGCCCGGAGAUGGAUUCUGAGACACGAAUCCAGGCCCUACGGGGCGCAGCAGGCGCGAAAACUUUACCAUGCGGGCAACCGUGAUAAGGAAACCCCGAGUGCCAGCACAGGCUGGCUGUCCGCCAGUUUAAACAACUGGCGAAGAAAGGGCCGGGCAAGACCGGUGCCAGCCGCCGCGGUAAUACCGGCGGCUCGAGUGGUGGCCGCUAUUACUGGGCUUAAAGGGUCCGUAGCUUGAUAAUAGGGUCCCUUGAGAAAUCCGCCGGCUUAACUGGCGGGCGUUCAGGGGAAACUUGUUUUCUAGGGACCGGGAGAGGUGAGGGGUACUGCCGGGGUAGGAGUGAAAUCCUGUAAUCCCGGUGGGACCACCUAUGGCGAAGGCAUCUCACCAGAACGGGUCCGACAGUGAGGGACGAAAGCUGGGGGAGCAAACCGGAUUAGAUACCCGGGUAGUCCCAGCUGUAAACUAUGUGCGUUAGGUGU
rnacentral:rRNA from 1 species